UGAAUCUCUGGGUAGCCACUUAGUAGUU
rnacentral:piRNA from 1 species